AUUGAACGCUGGCGGCAGGCUUAACACAUGCAAGUCGAGCGGGGGAGGUUGCUUCGGUAACUGACCUAGCGGCGGACGGGUGAGUAAUACUUAGGAAUCUGCCUAUUAAUGGGGGACAACAUCUCGAAAGGGAUGCUAAUACCGCAUACGCCCUACGGGGGAAAGCAGGGGAUCACUUGUGACCUUGCGUUAAUAGAUGAGCCUAAGUCGGAUUAGCCAGUUGGUGGGGUAAAGGCCUACCAAGGCGACGAUCUGUAGCGGGUCUGAGAGGAUGAUCCGCCACACUGGGACUGAGACACGGCCCAGACUCCUACGGGAGGCAGCAGUGGGGAAUAUUGGACAAUGGGGGGAACCCUGAUCCAGCCAUGCCGCGUGUGUGAAGAAGGCCCUAUGGUUGUAAAGCACUUUAAGCGAGGAGGAGGCUCUUUUGGUUAAUACCCAAGAUGAGUGGACGUUACUCGCAGAAUAAGCACCGGCUAACUCUGUGCCAGCAGCCGCAGUAAGAC
rnacentral:rRNA from 1 species